AUCAGGGAUCUUGCGCAAUGGGCGAAAGCCAGACGCAGCGACGCCGCGUGGGUGAGGAAGUCCCUCGGGACGUAAAGCCCUUUUCGGGGGGAAGAGCGAGGACGGUACCUCCGGAAGAAGCCCCGGCUAACUACGUGCCAGCAGCCGCGGUAAUACGUAGGGGGCGAGCGUUGUCCGGAAUUACUGGGCGUAAAGGGCGCGUAGGCGGCCCGUCAAGGGUCUUGUGAAAGCCCGGGGCUCAACCCCGGGACGCCAGGACCGACUGUCGGGCUAGGGUUUCGGAGGGGAGCAGGGAAUCCCUGGUGUAGCGGUGGAAUGCGUAGAGAUCAGGGGGAACUCCGAUGGCGAAGGCACUGCUCUGGCCGAGGACCGACGCUGAGGCGCGAAAGCUGGGGGAGCGAACGGGAUUAGAUACCCCAGUAGUCC
rnacentral:rRNA from 1 species